rnacentral:tRNA from 1 species
GCCUCGGAAGCUUAAUUGGUGAAGCGCUUGUUUAGCGUACAAGGGUCGUAAGUUCAAAUCUCACCUGAUCUG